UACAGAGGGUGCGAGCGUUAAUCGGAAUUACUGGGCGUAAAGCGUGCGUAGACGGUAGCGUAAGUCAGAUGUGAAAGCCCCGGGCUCAACCUGGGAACUGCAUUUGAGACUGCUCUGCUCGGGUGCGGAAGAGGGAAGCGGAAUUUCCGGUGUAGCGGUGAAAUGCGUAGAUAUCGGAAGGAACACCAGUGGCGAAAGCGGCUGCCUGGUCCGACACCGACGUUCAGGCACGAAAGCGUGGGGAGCAAACAGG
rnacentral:rRNA from 1 species